rnacentral:rRNA from 1 species
UACGUAGGGUGCGAGCGUUAAUCGGAAUUACUGGGCGUAAAGCGUGCGCAGGCGGUUUUGUAAGCCAGAUGUGAAAUCCCCGGGCUCAACCUGGGAAUGGCAUUUGGGACUGCAAGGCUGGAGUUUGGCAGAGGAGACUGGAAUUCCCGGUGUAGCAGUGAAAUGCGCAGAUAUCAGGAGGAACACCGAUGGCGAAGGCAGGUCUCUGGGCCACUACUGACGCUGAGGAGCGAAAGCCAGGGGAGCAAACGGG